AAAUAUAGGAAAAACACCAAUACAUGCUCCAUAUGAUACAAUACUAUAAAAAAAUCAAUACUUCAAAACAAUUUUUGUAUAAUAGCUAUUAAUGUCUACAUCUUUUUUUAGACUUAUUUUAACUAAUGUUAAGGAUAAAUUAUAGAAACUAAACUUCAAUUUUUCUUUAUGUGAAUCAUUUGACAAAAGACAUGUAUUAUGUAUUGCCUUUGAUAAAGUUGUUUUUAUUUGCUAGAGAAAUUCUUGAUCACUCCAUUUUUUUUAAUUAUGUCCAUUUUGAGAAAAAUAAUUCAAAGUUUGAACUUGAAAUACACACUGAGAGUGAAAACAAUAUACAACUUGACGUUUGAUAUAAACAAGUAUAACCAUUUUAUAUCUUGUAACAAACAUUUGAUUCAAAAUCUUUUUUAUAAUUUUGCAUAACAACUAUCUUUCAAUACCAACAUUGUAUAGGUGCUUGUUUAUACAACUCCAAAACUAAUUGUGGCUAUAUGUGACAAUGUAAUUCAUCAUUUAUCUUAAUUACAAGGAGAAUUCAAUAAAUUUUGAAUAAUAUUCUAUUAAAACUAAAAAGUGGGCAAGGCCAUAAACUUUGUGCACUACAUAAUUUAAAUCAUAAAAAAAUAAAUUAAUAAGUUUCCACUAAAAUUAUAGCUAAUCAAAACCUUAAUAUUAAUAUAAAAGAAGUAUAUAAAAGUUUUUAUUGAAAUCUAACCACAUUAAUAUAUGUACACUCUUUCAAUCUAGGUUGAAUGAAGUAGUUUUAACUACCAUAUUAUUAAAAUGUUACAAUUUCUAAAAGAAGUUGUAAUACAAUAUCCUUAUAACUACCUACUAUAAGCACCAAGGUUACAUAAUUAAAAAAUCAUAACAAAACACCACUACAUUUUCUCAAC
rnacentral:lncRNA from 1 species